rnacentral:lncRNA from 1 species
CUAUGGGGUCGUACACAUUAGAGGUAUUGACCGAUCUGAUGGUUGAAUGUGAUUAGGAAUCACAAAUAAUCAAUUAGAUUGAUAAAUGGUUAACCCGCUAAGAGUUAGUGGUUAGAAGAAGGAAUAAUUGCAAUCGGAUUGCAAUUUAAUUUAAUUAAUUGGAUUUAAUUAAUUAGACUUGAUCACGAGUCCUACUUGGAGUAGGAUUCAUGAAGUCCUAAUUGGAUUAGGAUUUCAAAUUAAAUUAGAAUCCUAUUUGGAAUAGGAUUUCUAAAGUCCUAAUUAUCUUAGGGCUGAAAUUUAAUAAGUCCUAAUUAGAUUAGGAUUAUUUUAAGUCCUAAUUAAUUUUAAAUUUAAUCUAAUUAAUUUCAUGACUUCUAAUUGGAUUAGGAUUGAAGAGUUCAAUAGAGUCAUGGUUCAAUUAAAUCCUAAUUUGAUUAGGAUUUGGA